rnacentral:lncRNA from 1 species
GGGAAAAUGUGUUUGCUUAAACACUCUGGGCUAUAUUGAAUCCUUAAUGAAAUCAAUAGUUCUGUGCAGAGAUCAAAGAUGAAUGAGAGUCCUGCCUACAUGUUUAAGUUUGAAACUUUUUUGGCUAGAGCAUGGGAUUUGCUGAACUACAUGGUCUUAUCAAGCUUGUGCAGCUGGCUGGAUCUGUGCUUCACUGCUGCUGGUAAAGUGCCAGCUACGAUAACACUUUAAUUGGGGAGGGGGUAUUAACAAAGAUAACAUACCUCCAUGGAAAUAAUGUUUAUAAUGUUUAUUUCAUCACUGGUAGCACUGAAAAUCAUCCAUUCUAAUCCCAAACUGUAAAAAGAGGGAGGGAAAUGUGAUUUCCUGAAGUUCAUUUUCUUGAAUAAAAAUGCAAAACAAGGAUCA